rnacentral:rRNA from 1 species
AGUGAACGCUGGCGGUAGGCCUAACACAUGCAAGUCGAACGGCAGCACAGUAAGAGCUUGCUCUUACGGGUGGCGAGUGGCGGACGGGUGAGGAAUACAUCGGAAUCUGCUUUUUCGUGGGGGAUAACGUAGGGAAACUUACGCUAAUACCGCAUACGACCUACGGGUGAAAGCAGGGGAUCUUCGGACCUUGCGCGAUUGAAUGAGCCGAUGUCGGAUUAGCUAGUUGGCGGGGUAAAGGCCCACCAAGGCGACGAUCCGUAGCUGGUCUGAGAGGAUGAUCAGCCACACUGGAACUGAGACACGGUCCAGACUCCUACGGGAGGCAGCAGUGGGGAAUAUUGGACAAUGGGCGCAAGCCUGAUCCAGCCAUACCGCGUGGGUGAAGAAGGCCUUCGGGUUGUAACGCCCUUUUGUUGGGAAAGAAAAGCAGCAGGUUAAUACCCCGCUGUUCUGACGGUACCCAAAGAAUAAGCACCGGCUAACUUCGUG